GACAGAGGGUGCAAACGUUGUUCGGAAUCACUGGGCGUAAAGCGCACGUAGGCGGAUUGUUAAGUCGGGGGUGAAAUCCUGAGGCUCAACCUCAGAACUGCCUUCGAUACUGGCAAUCUCGAGUCCGGAAGAGGUUGGUGGAACAGCUAGUGUAGAGGUGAAAUUCGUAGAUAUUAGCUAGAACACCAGUGGCGAAGGCGGCCAACUGGUCCGGUACUGACGCUGAGGUGGCGGAAAGCGUGGGGAGCAAACAGGGAUUAAGAUACCCUG
rnacentral:rRNA from 1 species